GUCCACGCCGUAAACGAUGUCAACUAGCCGUUGGGAACCUUGAGUUCUUAGUGGCGCAGCUAACGCACUAAGUUGACCGCCUGGGGAGUACGGUCGCAAGAUUAAAACUCAAAUGAAUUGACGGGGGCCCGCACAAGCGGUGGAGCAUGUGGUUUAAUUCGAAGCAACGCGAAGAACCUUACCUGGCCUUGACAUGCUGAGAACUUUCCAGAGAUGGAUUGGUGCCUUCGGGAACUCAGACACAGGUGCUGCAUGGCUGUCGU
rnacentral:rRNA from 1 species